rnacentral:rRNA from 1 species
AGUCGAACGAUGACGACCGUGCUUGCACGGUCUGAUUAGUGGCGAACGGGUGAGUAACACGUGAGUAACCUGCCCCCCACUCUGGGAUAACCUCGAGAAAUCGGGGCUAAUACCGGAUAUGAGCUCCUACCGCAUGGUGGGUGCUGGAAAGUUUUUCGGUGGGGGAUGGACUCGCGGCCUAUCAGUUUGUUGGUGAGGUAAUGGCUCACCAAGGCGAUGACGGGUAGCCGGCCUGAGAGGGCGACCGGCCACACUGGGACUGAGACACGGCCCAGACUCCUACGGGAGGCAGCAGUGGGGAAUAUUGCACAAUGGGCGAAAGCCUGAUGCAGCGACGCCGCGUGGGGGAUGACGGCCUUCGGGUUGUAAACCUCUUUCAGUAGGGAAGAAGCGAAAGUGACGGUACCUGCAGAAGAAGCGCCGGCUAACUACGUGCCAGCAGCCGCGGUAAUACGUAGGGCGCAAGCGUUGUCCGGAAUUAUUGGGCGUAAAGAGCUUGUAGGUGGCUUGUCGCGUCUGCCGUGAAAACCCGAGGCUCAACCUCGGGCGUGCGGUGGGUACGGGCAGGCUAGAGUGUGGUAGGGGAGACUGGAACUCCUGGUGUAGCGGUGAAAUGCGCAGAUAUCAGGAAGAACACCGAUGGCGAAGGCAGGUCUCUGGGCCAUUACUGACACUGAGAAGCGAAAGCAUGGGGAGCGAA